AUUGUGGCCUGGGUGCUGGACUUUUCAUAUUAAGUCCUGUCUUAGCCAAGGGAGAAGAAUGUAAGGAUAAGACCACCAAUAUCACAGGGGCUGUCUGAGCCUUUACCUGUGAUUUUCUACCACUCUGUGGCCUUCUGGAGCAAUGGACAACCAAGUCAGCUAUGCAGUUCAUAAAAGUGGACCUGGUUAUAUGUCAUCCAACAGCAUAUGGUCCCUGCAAGCCUGUUUGGAAGCCAAUAUUCUAUAACCUACAGGAAUCCACUGAAUCUGAUGUCUUUGGAAGCAAUAUAUUUUCCAGGGUUCCAAUGGACUACGGAAUAAGGCAACACAGGGCCUGUUUUCCCGCAGUGUCCUCUGCUCCAAGGAACUUUCUUAAGGAAGCGGGACGUGUCAAUGAGGUACCUCCCGGGGUUCUACAGUUCCUCCUGCCCACUGGCCAGGGGGAAUCUGGCGGGAGCCUCUCGGUGGAUGCUGUCACAUGACUGUGCCUUCUGAAAGAACAUCUGUGAAGAGCAGUUUCUGGUGUCCCUGAGUAACCCUUUUCUAACAAUUCAGCCAGUGUAUUUCCUCCAAGAGUAGAAAACACUGGCUUGGAAAAUCUAGUGAAUUUUCAGCUUCUUGUGAAUGUGUAUGAACAAACCAACCUACUCGGUCUGUGAAAUUCUCGCUAAUUCAGAUGGGACAUGGGCAAGGCUUCUAAUACUUUCAUCCCAUGAACAUAAAUUUUGAUAUUUCAGCUGCAGAUUUUUUCAAAUAUACAAUGACCUGAGGCCAGGAAAGUUACCUUGUCAAUUUAUUUUCUUAUAAUUUGCAUGUCUUAUAAAAGUAGACUACAGCAGGCAUGGACAAAAACAGAACAAAAGUCUAACUGAUUGAAAGCUUAUUCCAUAGAGAAGACAUUGGGUUCUAGAGACUUACAGGCUAUGCUUGUAGUUUCUCAUAUUUACCUUCCUUUUGUUGGAAAAUAUAGCAGAAAAUAGAGUGGAGGAGGGUGAGAAGGUGAGGUUAUUUGUGUGAAGAAUGGUUAGGAUCAGUUUGUUUACCUCCUCCCCAUCCGUACCACUUUUUGGAACAGUUAUCUGUAAAUAUAAGGAUAAAGUAGUCUGAACCUGGGUACAGAAGAGGAGAACACUAACAAGACAGGCAUCUGAUGGUAAUACCAACAGCUUUUUCCCCAAACCUAAGUUACAACUUUAGUGAUCAUUAUGUUCUAAUUGUUAUAGAAAAAUAAAAUGUGAA
rnacentral:lncRNA from 1 species